GUGUAGUGGCAAGAGGCGUUAUUUACCCAGUCAGACAUAGAGGAGUUAUUUACCCAGUCAGAUAUAGAGGAGUUAUUUACCCAGUCAGAUAUAGAGGAGUUAUUUACCCAGUCAGAUAUAGAGGAAGGAGUUAUUAACCCAGUCAGAUAUAGAGGAGUUAUUUACCCAGUCAGAUAUAGAGGAGUUAUUCACCCAGUCAGAUAUAGAGGAGUUAUUCACCCAGUCAGAUAUAGAGGAAGGAUUUAUUCACCCAGUCAGAUAUAGAGGAGUUAUUUACCCAGUCAGAUAUAGAGGAGUUAUUUACCCAGUCAGAUAUAGAGGAGUUAUUUACCCAGUCAGAUAUAGAGGAGUUAUUUACCCAGUCAGAUAUAGAGGAGUUAUUCACCCAGUCAGAUAUAGAGGAAGUAGUUAUUUACCCAGUCAGAUAUAGAGGAGUUAUUUACCCAGUCAGAUAUAGAGGAGUUAUUUACCCAGUCAGAUAUAGAGGAGUUAUUCACCCAGUCAGAUAUAGAGGAGUUAUUUACCCAGUCAGAUAUAGAGGAGUUAUUUACCCAGUCAGAUAUAGAGGAGUUAUUAACCCAGUCAGAUAUAGAGGAGUUAUUAACCCAGUCAGAU
rnacentral:lncRNA from 1 species